AAUCCAUAGGUUAAUGAGGCGAACCGGGGGAACUGAAACAUCUAAGUACCCCGAGGAAAAGAAAUCAACCGAGAUUCCCCCAGUAGCGGCGAGCGAACGGGGAGGAGCCCAGAGCCUGAAUCAGCAUGUGUGUUAGUGGAAGCGUCUGGAAAGGCGCGCGAUACAGGGUGACAGCCCCGUACACAAAAGCGCAUGUGCUGUGAGCUCGAUGAGUAGGGCGGGACACGUGGUAUCCUGUCUGAAUAUGGGGGGACCAUCCUCCAAGGCUAAAUACUCCUGACUGACCGAUAGUGAACCAGUACCGUGAGGGAAAGGCGAAAAGAACCCCGGCGAGGGGAGUGAAAAAGAACCUGAAACCGUGUACGUACAAGCAGUGGGAGCACAGGUUUACCUGUGUGACUGCGUACCUUUUGUAUAAUGGGUCAGCGACUUAUAUUCUGUAGCAAGGUUAACCGAAUAGGGGAGCCGUAGGGAAACCGAGUCUUAACCGGGCGUUAAGUUGCAGGGUAUAGACCCGAAACCCGGUGAUCUAGCCAUGGGCAGGUUGAAGGUUGGGUAACACUAACUGGAGGACCGAACCGACUAAUGUUGAAAAAUUAGCGGAUGACCUGUGGCUGGGGGUGAAAGGCCAAUCAAACCGGGAGAUAGCUGGUUCUCCCCGAAAGCUAUUUAGGUAGCGCCUCGUGAAUUCAUCUCCGGGGGUAGAGCACUGUUUCGGCUAGGGGGCCAUCCCGGCUUACCAACCCGAUGCAAACUGCGAAUACCGGAGAAUGUUAUCACGGGAGACACACGGCGGGUGCUAACGUCCGUCGUGAAGAGGGAAACAACCCAGACCGCCAGCUAAGGUCCCAAAGUCAUGGUUAAGUGGGAAACGAUGUGGGAAGGCCCAGACAGCCAGGAUGUUGGCUUAGAAGCAGCCAUCAUUUAAAGAAAGCGUAAUAGCUCACUGGUCGAGUCGGCCUGCGCGGAAGAUGUAACGGGGCUAAACCAUGCACCGAAGCUGCGGCAGCGAACGUAUCACUUAAAGCGAUUCAGCGGGUUACGAUUGAC
rnacentral:rRNA from 1 species